rnacentral:rRNA from 1 species
UACGGGGGGGGCAAGCGUUGUUCGGAAUUACUGGGCGUAAAGGGCGCGUAGGCGGCCUUCUAAGUCGGACGUGAAAUCCCUCGGCUUAACCGAGGAACUGCGUCCGAUACUGAAAGGCUUGAAUCCGGGAGAGGGAUGUGGAAUUCCAGGUGUAGCGGUGAAAUGCGCAGAUAUCGGGAGGAACACCAAUGGCGAAGGCAGCUCGCUGGGACGGUACUGACGCUGAGACGGCGAAAGCGUGGGGAG